UAAAACUUGGCGCGAGCAUGCGUUUAGGUUGUCAUGGUGACGCGCGCUCACACAACCGCACGUCAUGGCGCUGCGCUGAACUCUGUCCAGACUGUGAAUGUGGUAUUAUCUUCGCGAUCUGUAGGCACUACGGAAACGAAAGGCGCAUAAUCAUAACUCAAAUAAUCUCCGCCUAAAUACUGAACGGUAUUUUCUGAUGACGGGCAAAAACUACCUCAAAACGUAGCUGUCUGUCACACACAGCUUGUUGCAUGCUGAUCCAUACACGAGAGCCUAACGGAGAACAUUUAAGCUGUGCUCCUCACCUGAGCAGAAUUGAAGGUCGGUUGUUGCUGACUACAGAAAGAUUCUUAUAUGGAGGCAUGUAAAAGCAAGGAAAGUGAAACUUCAGCUAGACCUUGAGUUCAGUUUACAAUAUGAAGAUCCUGAUAUCAACAUCUGAUCUGAUCAACACCUGAUUUUCAUCUGAGCUGCAGAGGACCAACAUGUUACAAAUGAGAAUUUUCCCCACAAAUUCUUUGGACAACCGCACCACCACCUAUUUCAUUUGAUGACAAUUUUAAGGCAAACAGCAUCCAAAACUGACAAGACAGCAGAUACCCUGGCUAAUCUUUUGAAGGUUUAUGAUGAGCAGGAACUGCAUGAUGUCAGUUCAUGAUGGACUACUGUUAUCAGAGGUCUUUUGGUCUUGCUGCGUGAGCGUGACUGGGGAUUCUUUAGGACCACCCUGAUUAAUAAUCCUGAAGCGCUGACUGAAGAUGCUUUAUUGGCCCUGCAGUCACUGAGGGUCUCUGCUGUCCUGAAGAAUGAAUUGGACACCACCCACAGCACACUUCCAGACCUUUUUUGUCUUGUUUGAAUUAAUGUAUGCUCUUCACUCAGUAUAUAGUAAAGGACUUUGAACUUGUACAAAAAGUUUCGCUUGGCAUGGAUGAUAGAAAAUAGAAAGUCGAUUAGCAUAGAAUCCUUAAAGAAUGAGUUGAUGUAGAGCCUUUUUUGUACUCAAUAAAGACUGUCACUGGGGUAGUAACUUCAAAACAUGUGUGAACCUUUAAUUGGUA